ensembl:lncRNA
ACACCAAGUGCUGAGGUCCUGUCUCAGCCUCAUACAGACCAAUCGACACCAAGUGCUGAGGUCCUGUCUCAGCCUCAUACAGACCAAUUGACACCAAGUGCUGAGGUCCUGUCUCAGCCUCAUACAGACCAAUCGACACCAAGUGCUGAGGUCCUGUCUCAGCCUCAUACAGACCAAUCGACACCAAGUGCUGAGGUCCUGUCUCAGCCUCAUACAGACCAAUUGCUGGGAAGGUGAGAAGCAAGUGGACAAAUGAUGAAGUAAAGGUUGCUGCAAAGUACCAGGUAAAAGGAAUGUGACUGCUGCUUCCAAGCAGAGCCGGCAGCUCGUAAAGGCAGAGACUGGGUUGCCAUAAAGUACUACAUCCACAACAGGAUCAUUGCAUUAAAAGAAAGAUGCAAGGAAAAAAAGAAACAACCAAGAGAGAUACUUUGUUGCUUCCACAGUUAUGUCAAUAUUGUAGUUUUCUGUAUUGCAUUGUUCUUACUCAUAAAUCUG